UACGGAGGGUGCGAGCGUUGUCCGGAAUUACUGGGCGUAAAGCGCACGUAGGCGGCUUUGCAAGUCAGAGGUGAAAGCCCGGGGCUCAACCCCGGAAUUGCCUUUGAGACUGCAUCGCUAGAAUUGUGGAGAGGUAAGUGGAAUUCCGAGUGUAGAGGUGAAAUUCGUAGAUAUUCGGAAGAACACCAGUGGCGAAGGCGACUUCCUGGCCUGUUCUUGACGCUGAGGCGCGAAAGCUAGGGUAGCAAACGGG
rnacentral:rRNA from 1 species